GAAUAUUGGACAAUGGGGGGAACCCUGACCCAGCCAUGCCGCGUGUGUGAAGAAGGCCUUUUGGUUGUAAAGCACUUCAUGCGAGGAGGAGGCCACUCAGAUUAAUACCCUAGGAUUGUGGCCGUUACUCGCAGUAUAAGCACCGGCUCAAUCUGUGCCCGCAGCCGCGGUAAUACAGAGGGGGCAAGCGUUGAUCGGAUUUAGUUGGCGUAGAGCGCGCGUAGGUGGCCAAUUAAGUCAAAUGUGAAAUGCCCGAGCUUAACAUGGGAAUUGCAUUCGAUACUGGUUGGCUAGAGUAUAGGGGAGGAUGGUAGAGUUCCAGGUGUAGCGGUGAAAUGCGUAGAGAUCUGGAGGAAUACCGAUGGCGAAGGCAGCCAUCUGGCCUAAUACCGACACUGAGGUGCGAAAGCAUGGGGAGCAAACAG
rnacentral:rRNA from 1 species